GAUGAAGAACGUAGCGAAAUGCGAUAAGUAAUGUGAAUUGCAGAAUUCAGUGAAUCAUCGAAUCUUUGAACGCACAUUGCGCCCAUUGGUAUUCCGAGGGGCAUGCCUGUUCGAGCGUCAUUAUAACCCUCAAGCUCAGCUUGGUGUUGGGGCCUGCUGCAGUGGCAGCCCUUAAAAUCAGUGGCGGCGCCAUCUGGCUCUAAGCGUAGUAAUUCUUCUCGCUAUGGAGUCCUGGUGGAUGCUUGCCAUCAACCCCCAAUUUUUCUAUGGUUGACCUCGGAUCAGGUAGGGAUACCCGCUGAACUUAAGCAUAUCAAUAAGCGGAGGA
rnacentral:misc_RNA from 1 species